rnacentral:rRNA from 1 species
UACAGAGGUCCCGAGCGUUGUUCGGAUUCAUUGGGCGUAAAGGGUGCGUAGGCGGCGGGGCAAGUCUGAUGUGAAAUCCCGGGGCUCAACCCCGGAACUGCAUUGGAUACUGCCUUGCUUGAGUACUGGAGAGGGAACUGGAAUUUACGGUGUAGCAGUGAAAUGCGUAGAUAUCGUAAGGAAGGCCAGUGGCGAAGGCGAGUUCCUGGACAGUUACUGACGCUGAGGCACGAAGGCCAGGGGAGCAAACAGG